GUUCUCCCCGAAAUAGCUUUAGGGCUAGCGUCAGGUGAUGCUACGUGGAGGUAGAGCACUGAAUGUAAGAUGGCCGCAUCUAGCGGUACUGAUUGCAAUCAAACUCCGAAUUCCAUGCAAGUUAACCUGGCAGUCAGUCUGUGGGAGAUAAGUUCCAUGGACAAAAGGGAAACAGCCCAGAUCGUCAAUUAAGGUCCCAAAAUUUAUGCUAAGUGUUAAAGGAUGUAGAAAUGCACAAACAACUAGGAUGUUGGCUCAGAAGCAGCCACCAUUUAAAGAGUGCGUAACAGCUCACUAGUCGAGUGUCUCUGCGCCGAAGAUUUACCGGGGCUAAGCAUAAUACCGAAAUUACGGAUUUAAUGUUUCAUUAAGUGGUAGGGGAGCGUUCCAUUUGCGGAGAAGCCAUAUCGUAAGGAGUGGUGGAGCGGAUGGAAGUGAGUAUGCCGGUGUAAGUAACGAAUGAGGGUGAGAAUCCCUCACACCGAUUGACUAAGGUUUCCAGGGCAAGGGUCGUCCUCCCUGGGUUAGUCAGGACCUAAGGCGAGGCCGAAAGGCGUAGUCGAUGGACAGCAGGUUGAUAUUCCUGCACUCGUAUAUGUGCGAUGUAAUGACAGAGAAGGUUAAGUUGGCCGGUUAAUGGAUUCCGGUCUAAGCGAGGUAGCUGAACUGCAGGCAAAUCCGUAGUUCAUAAGGCGAAGACGUGAUGGGGAGCGAAUGGAGCAAUCCUAGUAGCGAAGCAACUGAUACCAGCUCUCGAGAAAAGUUGCUAGCUUAAGCAUAUACGACCUGUACCGAGAACGGACACACGUGGUCAAGGAGAGUAUCCUAAGGUGAGCGAGAUAACUGUUGUUAAGGAACUCUGCAAAAUUACUUCGUAAGUUAGCAAGAAGAAGUGCUCUAGAAAUAGAGUCGCAGUGAAGAGGCCCAGGUAACUGUUUAACAAAAACACAGCUCUAUGCUAAGUCGCAAGACGAUGUAUAUGGGGUGACGCCUGCCCAGUGCUGGAAGGUUAAAAGGUGAGGUUAGCGCAAGCGAAGCUUUAAAUUGAAGCCCCAGUGAACGGCGGCCGUAACUAUAACGGUCCUAAGGUAGCGAAAUUCCUUGUCAGGUAAGUUCUGACGCGCACGAAUGGUGUAAUAAUCUGGGCGCUGUCUCGACAGCAGACUCGGUGAAAUCUUAAUACCUGUAAAGAUGCAGGUUACCCGCGACUAGACGGAAAGACCCCAUGGAGCUUUACUAUAGCUUAAUAUUGAGUAAUUGUAGUUCAUGUACAGGAUAGGUGGGAGACGAUGAAGUAGUGGCGUCAGCUGCUAUGGAGUCAACCUUGGGAUACCACUCUUGAAUUAUGAUUAUUCUAACUCACGCCCUACACGGGGUGGAGGACAGUGUUAGGUGGGUAGUUUGACUGGGGCGGUCGCCUCCUAAAG
rnacentral:rRNA from 1 species